rnacentral:miRNA from 1 species
AUAUAUAUGUGUGCGUGUGCAUGUGUGUGUAUGCGUGCUCAUUUUGUACAUACACAUACUGAGAUUUAAAGCAAUGACCAACAAACAGAAAAUGUGA